CAAAACUGCAUAUCAGUUCCAACUAUUAGUUUCCCCCUAAUCAGUCUUUCUCUUCCGGCCAUGAAGAAAAAACAUUAGAGUAUGUUUGUGGUGCAUAUGCGAAUCCGCAGUUGGUUUGCUUACCAUCUUCAAGUAAUCAUUCCUGUGCAUGUAGACAUCAGCGGAGGAAGUAACAAAGAUUGAAAGAGCCGUGGUUUAAUGGAUGGUUAUAAAAUUUAGUAAAGCAAGGUAAAACUCCAAAGACAUGAUCUACCGUAGGUGAAAUUACUAUGGAUAGUGCUAGAGUCGUCAAGUGGAACAAAAUCAACCAUGAAAAACCUCCCGACUUUUUCAAACAAAAUAAAGCAUCAACAGGUUUUGGGUCCUUAAGUUUUGACCAUCACAUUGGACAAGACCUUUAACCGGGCAUACCAUAUACAAAAGCUCAGGAACUUCCUCAGACCAACCAUGUUGGCGGCGGUGAAAAGAAUUCAAGGAUUUGCUAAAGCAGUGUAGGAUUUGGCCGUAAUCGUGUUACCAAACAGCUACAUUUUCUUGGUUUUUAAGUAUUGAGCCAGGCUUAACUAGUGUUUCCUUUUGCCACUAUCACAUGCCACCUCAUAAGUUUGUAAGUAAUUUGUUAUUGCCACUUCAACACAGUUAAUUCAGCCACAUUAUAAUUAAUUUUUUGUAACUGUUCUGAUGUUGGAAUAUGUAAUGAAAUUAGCACUUUUGGGAUU